GUAAUAGUUUUUCUGAGAGAUGGCUCGUACCAAGCAAACUGCUCGUAAGUCUACAGGAGGAAAGGCUCCCAGGAAACAACUUGCCACUAAGGCUGCACGUAAGUCUGCUCCUACCACUGGUGGUGUGAAGAAGCCACACAGAUACCGACCUGGUACUGUUGCUCUUCGUGAAAUCCGCAAGUACCAAAAGAGUACUGAGCUCUUGAUCAGG
rnacentral:misc_RNA from 1 species